UACGGGGGGGGCAAGCGUUGUUCGGAAUUACUGGGCGUAAAGGGCGCGUAGGCGGCCUGCUAAGUCGGACGUGAAAUCCCUCGGCUCAACCGGGGAACUGCGUCCGAUACUGGUGGGCUUGAAUUCGGGAGAGGGAUGCAGAAUUCCAGGUGUAGCGGUGAAAUGCGUAGAUAUCUGGAGGAAUACCGGUGGCGAAGGCGGCAUCCUGGACCGACAUUGACGCUGAACGGCGAAAGCUAGGGGAGCAAACGGG
rnacentral:rRNA from 1 species